GUCCACGCAGUAAACGAUGAAUGCUAGCUGUCCGGGGAAAUGACCUCUGGGUGGCACAGCGAAAGCGUUAAGCAUUCCACCUGGGGAGUACGCCGGCAACGGUGAAACUCAAAGGAAUUGACGGGGGCCCGCACAAGCGGAGGAACAUGUGGUUUAAUUCGAUGAUACGCGAGGAACCUUACCCGGGCUCAAACGCACCAGGAACGAUCCGCGAAAAGCGGGCGGCCCUUCGGGGCCUGGUGCGAGGUGCUGCAUGGUUGUCGU
rnacentral:rRNA from 1 species